UACGUAGGGUGCAAGCGUUGUCCGGAAUUAUUGGGCGUAAAGAGCUCGUAGGCGGUUUGUCGCGUCUGCUGUGAAAACCCGAGGCUCAACCUCGGGCCUGCAGUGGGUACGGGCAGACUAGAGUGCGGUAGGGGAGAUUGGAAUUCCUGGUGUAGCGGUGGAAUGCGCAGAUAUCGAGGAGGAACACCAAUGGCGAAGGCAGAUCUCUGGGCCGUAACUGACGCUGAGACGCGAAAGCGUGGGGAGCGAACAGG
rnacentral:rRNA from 1 species